rfam:Nocardia asteroides NBRC 15531 DNA, contig: NCAST34.
AGCGCCACCGGAUCGACGCCGCGGGUGAGCACCAGGUAGUCGCGGAUGGCGAUGCCGUGCCGGUUCUC